rnacentral:misc_RNA from 1 species
GAUGAAGAACGCAGCGAAAUGCGAUAAGUAGUGUGAAUUGCAGAAUUCAGUGAAUCAUCGAAUCUUUGAACACACAUUGCGCCCUUUGGUAUUCCAAAGGGCAUGCCUGUUCGAGCGUCAUUUGUACCCUCAAGCUUUGCUUGGUGUUGGGCGUCUUGUCUCUAGCUUUGCUGGAGACUCGCCUUAAAGUAAUUGGCAGCCGGCCUACUGGUUUCGGAGCGCAGCACAAGUCGCACUCUCUAUCAGCAAAGGUCUAGCAUCCAUUAAGCCUUUUUUUUCAACUUUUGACCUCGGAUCAGGUAGGGAUACCCGCUGAACUUAAGCAUAUCAAUAAGCGGAGGA